rnacentral:rRNA from 1 species
CAGGAUGAACGCUGGCGGCGUGCCUAACACAUGCAAGUCGAACGAAGCGCCCGCACGGAUUCCCUCGGGAUGAAGCGCGGAUGACUGAGUGGCGGACGGGUGAGUCACGCGUGGGCAACCUGCCCCGUGCCGGGGGACAACAGCCGGAAACGGCUGCUAAUACCGCAUGAUCCGGGAGGGCCGCAUGGCCCUGCCGGGAAAGCUCCGGCGGCACGGGAUGGGCCCGCGUCUGAUUAGUUUGUUGGCGGGGUAACGGCCCACCAAGACUGCGAUCAGCAGCCGGCCUGAGAGGGCGGCCGGCCACAUUGGGACUGAGACACGGCCCAGACUCCUGCGGGAGGCAGCAGUGGGGAAUAUUGCACAAUGGGGGAAACCCUGAUGCAGCGACGCCGCGUGGGCGACGAAGCGCUCCGGCGCGUAAAGCCCUGUCAGCAGGGAAGAAAAAAGACAGUACCUGACCAAGAAGCCCCGGCUAACUACGUGCCAGCAGCCGCGGUAAUACGUAGGGGGCAAGCGUUAUCCGGAUUCACUGGGCGUAAAGGGAGCGCAGGCGGCACGGCAAGUCUGGUGUGAAAGCCCGGGGCCCAACCCCGGGACUGCAUUGGAAACUGCCGGGCUGGAGUGCCGGAGGGGUAAGCGGAAUUCCUGGUGUAGCGGUGAAAUGCGCAGAUAUCAGGAAGAACACCGGUGGCGCAGGCGGCUUACUGGACGGCAACUGACGCUGAGGCUCGAAAGCGUGGGGAGCAAACAGGAUUAGAUACCCUGGUAGUCCACGCCGU